AGCCGUCACACGGAAUCG
rnacentral:snRNA from 1 species